AGAAUGGAGCUGGAGCGGAUGGUGAGGAAAAGAAAGAAACGGAACGGGGAAAGAGAAAGAGAAAUCCGAAGAGGGGCGGGGAGUGGGAAGGAAAGCUAUGAUGUAUGGACGCUCGCCAGCACCCAGCCAAGCGCCCCAUCGCCCAAGCCUGCCUGCCUCCCUCACUGGUCGGGAGACCAAGGGCUCCCUGGGGCUGACAGCCCUCCUGACCCCGGCUCGGGCAAGGCGCUGAUGCCCCAAGUAGCCUCUGCAGCCAGCCCAUCCGACCCGCCACUCCCUGGACCGCGCUCGCCACCCGGGCCCCGACUUCUCCCGGCGCCCCCAUCACUAGUCUCGGGGGCAAAGCCGAGAUGAGCAGAGAGCAGCUCAAGGGCUGGAAAAAUCAAAAAGGAGAGAAAGGGACAGAGGCAACCAAAAAGAUUUUUUUUGUAAUAAUCUGGUAACAUCACGGGGAAGCGCCAGGGGAGGGACCGAGGCGAGCACCUGGGAAGGAGCACACUGUGGCAAACACCCGGGGCUCCGGCGGGCUAGGCGAUUUCCCACAAAAGGAACUUUGCAAGGAGCGCAGCGGUUUGCAAUGGGAGAGAAGGCGAUCGCAGCGUUACCUGGCCGAGGUCAUGCCCGCGGGCCGCCGAAAUCCUCAGGUUUGCGGAAUUGAGCCACUUGAUCAGGUUACUAUGGAAAUCGUCUUAAGGGGAGAGGGGGUAUAAAGCGACCCAGGCAUAUCCUUGUCACCGCGAAGGAAACUGCUGGGGCUGCGAGCGCGGGCGCGGGACCGGGCGCGGCACCUCUCCGGCCCGGCUGGCUGCGUCCUGCUCCUCGGCCGGGCCGCGCCUCCCCGCCCCGCGCCGCCGCCGAGCAGCCCGCGGCCGCCGAGCUCUCCGCGCGCAGCCGGAGCGAAAGCGCGAGCUCGCGGUGCCAGCCGGCCUGGGCGGAGAGAGGCGCUGUUUCCCAGCCGCACAGCUGGAAUUUAAAGAGACAGACGCGCCGCCGGGUUUGGGGCCCCGGCCCUGGAGGGGAGCCCGCCCCGCCGCCGGACGCCCACGGUCUGCUCCCCGGCAGAAAGCACCCAGAGGGUCCCCGCGAGAAGUUUCCUGGGCGACAGUGCGAGGAGCGUGAGGACCAGCCUCAGCCUCCCCUCGAGAAGGCAAACUGCAGACUGCAAGGAGAGACUCUGGAAAUACAAGAUUAAACGUACAUUCCAACCUCUCCUCCAGCAUCUUCUGCGAGAUCCCCAGCAACUAGGAACACAGGUCUGCCUCUGUGGCUGAGAAGCAGCAAAACCUAGCAGGAGGAAGAAUCCAGUCCAGCCCAUUUCUAUUCCUGGCUGAACCGUGACCACGUCUUCCACGGCUGGCUGUCACCGUUAAGACUCCCUCCUAUCUUGUUCCAAACAGAAGGUGCUGGCCAGUUCACAUGGUUUGAUGCCUAUUUGUGGAACCAAAGAAAUUGUAAUUCUGUUGCUCGUUUUGCCAUUCGAACCAUUCCCUUUCACUGCUUUACAUACCACAGACUCUUUGUGAUACCAGUUCAACCCAAGUUUCCCCCCGGAAGGAGAAGCGAUAAAGAGACUCUCCUUGAAUUGUCUAGGUCAGUGGCGAGGAACCUAUGGUACCUGUGCCUCAGCGGGCUGUUUGUAUUGUUGAAAGCUCUGAAAGGCUCACCAUCCAUGGUCUAGGCCAACCGAACUACUCCACGAAGCUGCUCUUGCCAAGCGCAGUAGACAUCCUGCAAACUGGCCAGCUAGCAAGCAAGAUUCAUAUUACUCCUCUUUCUAUCUUAGACUUUUUAAAUUUUAUGAACCCUGAACUUGGCAAAGAGGCCACAUUCUCACUCCAGUGUAUUAAGUUUCUUUGCUAUAUCUCCCCACCCAUUUACCUCUCCCAAGCAGCUUCUAUCCCUCUUACCUUACCUCCAGAGGAGCUUUCAAAGCAAACAAGUAAUAUUAACCUAAUUGGAAAUCUUUUCAUAGUUCCCCAGUUCCAGUUCCGCUAGGUAAAUGUCCAGGGUUUUUAUUGCGGUGUAGAGCCUGUCUUAAAAUGGUAUCUUAACAAAAACAGUCUUAUCUUUAAAAUGGCUGGGUCUAUAAUUUAUAAAGAACAGAAACUCAUUUCUCACAGUUCCCAAUUUCAAAGUGCUUCAGGCUUGCUUUCUGGAGACAAGACUGGGUUCUUGUCCUAAGACAGUGUUUUGGAUGUUGAGGUCUCUCACAGUAAAGGACUAAACUCUCUGGGAAGCCCCUUUAUAGAGGCCCUAAUUCCAUCCACAAACCCUCGUGAUCUAAUCAGCUGCUAAAAGUACCACCUGUUUAUAGUAUUGCAUUGUAGAUUGUUUCAACGUGAAUUGGAAGGGACACACAUAACUCAUACCACAGCAGCGUUUCUCAAAGUUUAACCUGCAUCACAAAAGCCUGCACAACUGUUUAAACAGAGGUUUAUAGACCUCAUGCCCAGCGUUUUUCAUGCAGUGGAUCUAGGACAAUACAUAACAAUUUUAAUUUCUUUGGUUGUGUGCUUGAGGGGGCAGGUACUAGGUAUUAAUCCAGGGACUUUGAGCCCCAGCGUGUUUUUUUUUUUUCUUAAUUUGAAACAGUCUCCGUAAGUCUCUAAGUUUGACUAAACUGGGCUAGAACUUGUGGUCCUCCUGCUUCAGCCUUCCAAAGUGCUGAGAUUACAGGCACGUGCCACUAUGCCCAACAAGAACUGGUAUUUCUAACAAGAUCCCAGAUAAUUCUCAUGCUGCUGGUCUGGGAACCCUACUUUGACAAAAUGUAGCAUACAUCUUUUGAGAUUUGCCUACUUCAUCUCACACCUGCCUAACAGUUCCCAGGCAGAUCAAAUUUACUAACCAAUGGCAUGCUUCUUCAUAUAGCACACACUCACCCACUCACAGUCUCUUACAUUUACUAUUUGCUAUUCCCUGGCAGGAAUUCUCCGCAUCUACAACUCCUCCCCAUGCCCCGCCCACCACCGCCACAGUCUCUAACUCAUACUCAACCCUAAGACAGCUCUUUUAAGAUGUUUCCCCAAAAUACCCAGGUCUCACACCUGGUGCCACCUGUCUGUGGUGAUUCUGUAGUCACUUUUCACACUUCAGGUAGAAUAACUGCAUGAUUAUUUGUCCACUAAACUGCGUGUGCUAAGGGCAGGAUGCUAGGUUAUUUAUCCUUGUAUCCUCAAGUACCUAGCACAUUGGCUGACAGGUCCUAUCAGUGCAAAAACAAUCUUGAUAAUACAGGUAGGAAUAAGGAAGGAGAGGAAAAGAGAAAGGAAGAGGAAAGGAGAGGACCAUGAUGAUGAUCAAAAAUAAAGUCUGUAAUAAUAUUAGAAGGACAAAGGGAAUGAAGAGAACUAAUAUUUCUGAACUCCUAGUAUGUAUCAGGAAUAAUAUAUACUAGGUUAAAUGUUUUGGACAUUACCUCAUCUGUUCCUCCAAACAACCUUAAAAGAUAAAUAUAAAAGAUAAGUAUCUUUCCCAGUGUCACACAUCUGUUUGUAGGCUGUUGUAGCGCUAAGGGAGAUGCUGUACUUUAUUAUAAACACUACAAAAGCAGGUUUCUACAGUUGUACAGAAGUCUUGUGGGACUAUUAAUACUGAUUAGGGUUUUAUUACUUUGAUAAAUAUCACUUGAGCUCCCCACCUCCAAAGGGGUCUGACCCCAGCCUAGGUCAGGGGCCUCUAGUAGCUUAAUGGAUGCUUUUCUGACUCAAAAGUCCAGUGCACUGCUGCAUAGUCUUCUGAUGUGUGGGGCACUGUGGGCUGCUGGCUGGAAUUUCUGUGCAUUCUUGCUCUACCUGUGUUCCAGAUCUUCAUUGCUCCAUAAAUUAACCAAACCAGACAGGUAAACAUCUCUUAUAGUGAUGGGGCCAAAGUCCUUUGUUUGUCUACAUUUCUGCUAUGCUACAUUUUACUGUAACAGAGAUUACCAUUAACUGGGACAAAUGCGAACAUAAAUUAAACGUAGGAUAAAUGAAAUUAUUUGUGCUCCCUCUGGAAAUUUAUUCAAACAAAAAAUACUUCUAAACAAAACUGAAUUUAUUUGAAAGUAAAUGGAUUCUACAGCCAUUUAGGAUAAGGCUUUAACUCAAAAUUUAGCUAAUUUACUAUAAAGAUACCAACACUCAUUAUUGAAAUGCAUUCGGUAUAAACUUGGAACCUGUCAUAACACUGUAGAAUAAACCAGUGCAAGAAUAUUUGUUUUCCUUGAAUGCUGUAUCCUUUAUAUAGAAUUUUAUGAAAACAUGAAAAUCUUACAGUUGC
ensembl:lncRNA